rnacentral:rRNA from 1 species
AGAGCUCAAAGUUGGAACCUGUUUGGCUUAGCUAANCCGGAUUGUAAACUGUAGAAGUGUUUUCCAGACACGCCUGGUAAAAAAGUCCUUUGGAACAGGGCAUCAUAGAGGGUGAGAAUCCCGUCAUUGGCCAGAGCUGUUGUCUUUUGUGAUACAUUUUCAAAGAGUCAGGUUGUUUGGGAAUGCAGCCUAAAUUGGGUGGUAAAUCUCACCUAAAGCUAAAUAUUUGCGAGAGACCGAUAGCGAACAAGUACCGUGAGGGAAAGAUGAAAAGAACUUUGAAAAGAGAGUUAAACAGUAUGUGAAAUUGUUAAAAGGGAACCGUUUGGAGCCAGACUGGCUUAAUCGUAAUCACUCUAGGCUUUGGCCUGGAUGCACUUGCGGUUUAUGCCGGCCAACGACAGUUUUGUUUGAGGGAAAAAAUUACAUUGAAUGUGGCCCCUCGGGGUGUUAUAGCUUUGUAAAAAAUACCUUGAACGGGACUGAGGAACGCAGCGAAUGCCUUUAGGCGAGAUUGCUGGGUGCUUGCGCUGAUACAUGCUAGAAUUUCUGCUUCGGGUGGUGCUAGUGUGUAAAGGAGUAACCCGCCUAGUAUAUUUUUUAUUCGCUUAGGUUGUUGGCUUAAUGACUCUAAAUGACCCG